GGGGGGGGCAACAUUGUUGGGCAAUUAUUUAUUCUGGAAGACUUGGACAUGCUUAUGGUGUCUUUCUUAGUAUUCUUGCCAAUAAAGUACAAUGAAACCAACUUCAUUUGAAAGAGAGAAAGACAAUAGAGGAGGGGAAGGAUGAUGUUUGCUAACAGACAUUUGCAACCAGGGAAACUUGUGCAAGAGUAAGAAGGAGUGAAGCCCCCUCUCUUGUGCUUUACACACAGAACACCUAUCCCAGCUGACAUUACAGACUGUGGAAAUGGUUCUUGUUUGUGAUUGGACAGGUCCCAGGUCAGUAGUUUGUUUGCGUAUAACGUCGGCGACGCAACUUUGAGAAAUCACGUGAAGCUUUUAUCGAGUAUUAAAAGGUGUUAACAAUCAAUGGAGAAUGCAAGAAAUUGACCUAAAACGCCGUAAAAGUUGCCUCUAAGCUUCACCUGGAGUUGGUUGGAGUUCGUGUGUGCGACGACCUCUCCAUUGAAACAUUAUCUUCUCAGUCUCUUUGGGCUGCUAUUGUGCUUUUAACAACGUUGUGUCUGUAGACUGGGCUCUUACAGUUGACCUCGGUUAUCAGAGAGGUGAGCCCAUGUCUGAUGCAUCAUGUCAGUGAGAGGAGAGGAUGAAGUCCAGAGAUGAUCAACGAAGACACACAGAUGGUUCAGAGACCUUGCUGAAUCUCCAUGAGUCACCUGAGAACCCAGAGGCAGAGGACAUCACUGAGAUGUUACGCAGUCAACAAGAAAUGUUGCUGAACUGAGCAAGAAGCGUCGUCCUGCUCUAUUGAUCCACCCAUCCACUGUGCAGUUUCCAGCCUCCAGGCCCCCUGGGGAAGCACAAAUCCAAGACAUCAAGUGACGUCUGCUUUGAAAGUGGAUGGGGUGCCUCUGCAAUAAUGGCUCAGCGGCGAAGACGUCAGAAACAUCUUCAAACUUGGAGCCUGCAGGCAGCACAUUCAGAGCCACCUCCCUGAAUCUGAGUGUGGGUACAUUCCUCUCCGGUCCUCCUCCCUGCCGCUCAGCAGAAAACGUGCCAACCAAAUAUCUUCCCACCCAACGCCCCAUGUCUGGACUGCAACCGUCUUCUCACGUAGACCUGGCCACACCGCAGAAUGAGAGGUAUGGAGGAGCAUCACCUGACUGACGCCAAACAGAAUUAGGCACAUUCUUCAGGGUUUGAGGGUUAUAAUACAUCUGCACAUCAUUACAUGGAUGACGAGAGCUGACAGUUACAGGCAGGCUCUGCUGGGGGCUUGUUUGGAUAACCUAAUGAGUUCUCAUUUCCAUGGCCAACAAAUCCGGCUGAUACUACAGAAGCCUCCACUGAUCUGUACGCAUCUGUCACUACUGUGAAUGCAUCUCCUGGAGCAGAACAGGUGAGACACAACUACAGCACAGUGCUACUGAAAUAACAACAGGGAGGCAAGAGGAAGUUACAAACAAGCUUUGGAUUAAGCAACAGCAGGAAAACUAUCUGACUGUACAUUACAGAGGUACUAUGUCAGGUUGAUAAUAUACAAACUAAAAAAGUGUCUAUAAAAAGCAAAAAUGUAAACAACAACAAAAAAAACAUUGCUCACUGUUUUCACAUUUUGGGAAAUAUGCCUAUUUGCUUUUUUGCCAAGAGUUAAAUAAGAAGAUUGAUACACUCUCUUAAAUAAAAGACUACAGCCAACAGCCGGUAAGCUUAGCUUAGUUUAGCAGAAAGACUGGAAACGAGGGGAAACAGCUAGUCUGGGGGGUGCAUUACUCAAAUACAUUUUGACUUCUACCAAGAAACUGCUGAAGUUCAAUACCCAGCCCUAAAACAAACCUCUGACUCUGCUCACCCUUUCUGAUCAGAGCCUGAACAGGAGCAACACAUAACUCUGUCACAUGCAAAUACAGGCCUGAUGGAAGUUUCCACUGCCCCCCCUCUCUCUGUGUGUGUACAUGUGCACAAGUCACGGGCUGUACUUCUUGAGAUGUGCUGCCGCUGGUCUAAUCUCUCUCAAGUGCAGAUGAUGAAGAGCAUGCCUCUGAAUCUUAAAUACCCUGCUGCUCUGGUCCACUCCAAAUACGACAAUAUCACAGUUUCAUAAGAGUUGCAACUUUAUUUUUAGUCAUCUAUCUCUCUCUACUUCAGUAAGAAGGGGCUUUUCACACGCAUGCUGCGUUUACGUUGUCAAGCCACCGGCACGAUCUGAACUCAGGUCAAUGAUGUGAAGAAAGUGUAUUAAAACUACAGAUCAAAAAGGUCUCACUGUCUUAUUCUGGUGUUCUUGUGCGUUCCUGAGCUUUUUUUUUUCCUUCUAAUUAGGAAUAGCCCAGAGGGAGAAUGAAGAAGUUAGACUGUGUUGUCAGAAUGUAUUCCACAGAGGUUACACGUCUGUCAUUAUCAGUACAUCCAUCAAAUAACACCAUCCCUUCAGCUCCCUCAGCUGCAACAAGGGCCCUGCUGUCAUCAGAAAUUCUCAGAGUCCUGUUAUUAUUACCUGUCAUGUCAAGGUCAAAACACUGAGCUGUACCGGCCACACUGUUCACCUCUGACGCUUAUGUAAAACUACCAUCUUUUAUAUGGAUGAACUGCUUGUUCCUGCUUUGCAUUCAGACUUUGUGUUUUUACUCUCACUGUACCAAAACAGUCAAAUCGACCUUCACGGGUAUGACCUCCCCCUGCCAACAGGGAGUAAGAUGUCUUGAGUGAAUAAGUGUGGGGUGCCAACAGGUGGCGAGGUUAAUGACUGUGGCCCAGGAAAGUGCCCAGAUGCCCCACGUCUCUGUGUGUGUUCGGCCUGGUCCACUGCAGUAACCACAGUGUGCCACUGUGAGGGACGGAGAGAGUCCGCGUGUCCUUCGGCCAACCAAACAGAUGGGCUGGGACUGAAGUGAGUGGAUCUGGCACUCAGAGGUUUAACCUGACCUAGUCUGUCUGCUCCCAUCACUUCUCCUCCACACGGGAAUAAUGCCAGACUGAGUUUGACAAAAGAAAAUAAUUACCAAACCUUUUCUGUGAUUUUAAAAUGUCACACUGUCUAACUGAAAGAAAAACACACACACACACACACACACACACACACACACACACACACACAGGGAUGGCGUCACAUUCAUCAAAUGAACGAAACCUGAUCAUGAUAUUCAUCUCUUUUUUGGUUUGUUUGUUUUAUUACACCUUGGACUCCAUCUGCAUCUUCUAGAGGCCCAAUUACCCACAACCAAAGCUGAGUCCUCUUUCUUUAUCUGUCCCCUGUGUCCAACAAGGCCCGUGCCAUGUUUACUAAUGACCACCUAGAAUUCCACUGUAUUGACCAUCGUACGAAUCACAGUCAUUUCAUUUACAUGAGUUUGCACUGUUUUGAGGGACAAGCAAAGGACUCCGUGAUGAGCCACAAGCGUCUCAGUACAGCUGCAAAGUAUAAUGAGCCAAGUCUUGAUGAGUCCUUGUAGAAACUCCAGUUUUAAGACUGGGACAAAGAGCGUCUCUGUGACUGAACAUGCCUCUUCAGUGCUACUUCAGAGGCACAAAUAUUACGUAAUUCAGAUUAAUUACCAGGCAGACACACUCUGUCCCAUCCCAGCUGGCUUUCUGAAGAGGCCCCUGUAACUGUAUGACAGCUCGUCUCUUUUUAAGGCCGUAAUCAAAUUAGUCUGGGUGAUUAUUCAGCCAUUUUAAGCAUCUUUUUCCCUCUUGCUUUUUGUUACUCGCAGCGUGGAGGAAAGACCAAUAAAAACUCCAUUAGGUUUAUGCAAAUGUGAGCAGCCGCGCCGAGGGCUGUGACGUGGCAGAUUGAUUACUCAAGGGACCAGAGACGAAGUGUGUGUGCGUGCACGUGCUUACUUUAACAGUGUAUGUGUGAGAGAAAACGGAGGUGGGAUCGUUGUUGUACACAGAUGCCACAAUAAAAGCCUCAUUCAGCUUGUGUUCCUGGUGGCCCUCACAGUGAGGCAUUAAUAAAACAUUAGUAUUGAGUGACUGGGGCCUCUGCACUCCUCCUCCCUGAUCCCAAGCGUGACCUUUCCAUUUUACAGCAGCUGUCUGGGGAUGCAGAGAGCUCACUGACCCCCCCCCCCCCCAAUCACCCUCCACGCUGCAGUCCCCCCUGACCUCUCCAGGUGUACCCUAUCACACAGAGCUGUGCCCACCUCAUAAGUGCUUCAGUUGAAGCCAUUAAAAAAAAAAGAGAAUGCUGCUUAUGUCUGUGAUUUUCUGGAGCGGAGAGAGGUGAUGAGGAGGGUGGGAUGGAGAGAGAGGGUGGGGGUGGGGGGGCUGAGAAAACAAAAGCUCAAGUGUAGAUAACAGUCAUUUCUGGGGCCGUUAUAGUUUGUUGGUUUAAAGGAGUGAGAGACUGUGCUGAACUUUGUGCAGGGAUCUCUGGUUACAUCCUGUCUGCCUGUAGUCUGGUACCCAACAACAGACCAGAUAGUUAUUCAACGUACUGCCUCCAAAACAUACACCAAAUAUACUGUUUCAAGCUGAGCUGUAAAGACUACACAGGAAAAAGUCUAAAUAACAAAAUCAAAUCGGUUUAGUUCUUAAUGUUUUUAGUUUGACAAUGCCUAAAAAAGCUAUUUACUUCUCCCGUCUAGACCAUAACAAAUACGAAGCAUAAUGCCUUAACAUUCACAAAUACUUUUCCAUCAACAGUGGGUUUUGGUUUGGCCCUGGAGCCUGUGGUUAGUCACAUCUGGUGGAAAUGCACAAGGCUACAUGCUACAGUAGGUGGUGACAAAAAGAGCAGGAAGGCUGGUAAUCCCAUACAGUCCACACACACUGCCAGGACAACUGAAAGGCCUAAGCCACAAGGCAACAUUAACAAAUCUUUACUAAUGGGAAUGCAGGCCACACCUUCAUUCCUCCCAAAUUAGAGUAAGGAUGGUUGGCUUUUUAAAGGACAGGCAAUGCCAGCAAUGUGGCUGCCCCUGUGUGUGUGUGUGUGUGUGUAUGUGUGUGUGUGUGUUUGUGUGUGGGGGAGAGGGAGAGAGAGAGUAGUGAGUAGAAAAUGGGUGGUUUCACAACUGCAUGAAAACUUGCAAUACUACUAGUGAAUACUUGAACAGCUGACUGGCGGUUUUCAGCCCCAUCAUAAACAUGAAAGGAACACACACACACACACACAAAAUUACUUUCCUCUCUGAUCCCAGCUGAAAGUUGACAGCCUCGGGAGCAAAGUAUUUUUAGGCAGGCGUUAGUCUCGGCUGCCAAACGGCGCAAAAUAUAGCAUUGCUUCUCCUGGUCUUACUCGCCCUCUCUGCUCCAUCUCCUCCUCUGUGUCUGUAUACAACGCAUCUAUACACGUCCUGCUCUUGUGUCACUUUGUCGCUCCCUAAAUUUCUGCCACUUCACUCCUCCUCUCGAGCCCCUCCCAUCUCAGGCAAGAGCGAGUCAACCAGCGUCAGGGUAGGACGCCUGCCUAACAAGCUGGAAACCUGAGCUUUCUCCAUGUCUGCUGUAAUUAAACAUAAAGGCACUUGGCAGAGGGACAGUAGCUACUGUAACUGCGUAACUGAGUUCAUAAGGAUGCGGUGCCUUGAUCUUUCAUAGCCAGCCUGUCUGUCUCCAUCGGCCCGGAAAAACCUUGACUACCAAGGAGACAGUGGUCCAUACCAGUGGCCUCAUAAUGCUAAGCCCCCAGCUCCUUCAUAUCCAGCUGUUUACUGUAGACACAAGACACCCAUAAGCCUCCUGCUUCUCACUUGCUUCCGCUUAGCUUUACUUUUAAACUUCUUGGCAGCAUAGAAAGGAGCUUGUCUGGAGUCACUCACACGUUUUCCCUGACAGGAAAAAGCAGCUGAUUCGGAGAAGAAUAAUUAAACCAAACUUUAAAUCACAGAAACUGACCAAUAUACCAAAUAUAUUCUGCUUAUUUGGUCACGCUGAAGGAUUUUUUUUUCUUGGUAACAAAAAAAAAUACCUUUUUAUUUGAUAUUCAGCUGGCAUGGGGGCACUGCAAAAAGAUACAAACCAUAUAAGUUUUCAUACUAUGAUCAUGAAUUUCCUCUGUAUUUACAAUAAUAACAUUUAACUCCUGUCACUAAAGUGUAGGCGUUGCAUAAGUGAACUAUUGCUUUCAAAGUGUGGGCGUUUGUCAACCUCGAUGACAGCUUUAUGCAGCUUUGUGGCAAACGGGCUGCAUUGAACCAGCGAGCAUAUAGCACAAAAUCAUUACAUCAGGACAGAUACUGUAUGUGCUUUGUGAAUGCAGUCGACGUAAUGAAACUGUGCCAUGCUCUUACUUUGAAAUUUCAUUACUCCAGUGGAGAUAAAACCACAAAACCAUCAAUAAAAGAUGCAACAGAGUCUGAGCUUUUUAAAAUGCAAAUCCAGUGACUGGUGUAGCUGUAACUGUUUUCCAUUGAUUGCAUCAGUGCUAAAAUAAGAUCACAGGACUGGUUUUACAUCUUGAAACUUAAAACUAGCUCUAACACCACCGGGCACAUGUAAAAACAACCUACAAACCUUCAAAAUAUCACUGCGUUUCCCUCCUCUCUAUUCAUCACACAGCCCCUCCAUCCCUCCUGCCUCAGCCUGCACGAUGAAAACUGCAAACACCUCAGGGAAAAAUUUAUCAUCUCUUAUCUCACAUGAAGCUGUGAAAACUGCCACCUGUCGUUCCUUCAGGCAGAUUAAGUCGAGUGGUUCGUCACUGAUACGGUAUGUUACAUUUCAGUCAAUCAGAUUUUCAUACCCUUGAGAUGGAUCCUUCCUUUUUUCCCUGCCCCCUUGCUCCCCUCCUGAAUUCCUGUUGAGAUUACUGAUUUGACUUUUCUUUACUUUCAGCUUUGCCGUGUCUUCUAUCACCACAUAUGGUGCUUAAGGAGGUUUUUGUUCACUUUUUUUUAUCCUGUAAAGCACUUUGUAAACGUAAUUUUAGUAAAGUGUGAUAUGAAUAAAGUUGUGUUAUUUGAAUUAAA